CGCUUUAAACCGGAAAAGAAACCUACUGCCAGAGUUCAUCCCAAAGAGGAAAAAUCUCGACGAAAGAGUGAUAACAAAUUCCUAGACGGGACCAUCACACCAAAGAGACAUGGCCUCUCUGAAUGGCUUUGACAAGUAGUUGGCUGAGCAGGUUGCCCUUUAUCCCAACCUGUACGAUCCAGAUCAUGAGUUUUACAUGAACAAACGGAUUAACGCUUGUUAUCGUGGCGAGAAAUCACAAACAAGCUUGCGGAACCGUUUUAUCCGAGCCAGGAAAAAGGCGGAAUGCGGUUCCGCGAACGCCUCACUGUUGUUAGAAUCGCUGUCAUGGCUGGUGGACUUUGUUAAAUACAAGACGAUGGAGGCAGAAAUUCAGAGGAUGUCUUUAACCCAACCUGCAAAAAUCCAAAUAGACGUUAUGAGAUUGUGUGAAGAGGUGCAACGUUGCCCGUGUCUUUAUGAUGGGUCCUUAACACAUAAUAGAGACGUGGAAAAGGACAGCAAUUUGUGGAGGGAAAUUGCAAAGAAUUUGGGAGUGAGUGAAAGUGCUGGUCGGAUAAAGUGGAAAUCUUUAAGAGACAAGCUUGUGAAGACAAAGAAGAGGCUGCAGCUGAAGAGAAGAAGCUGUGCAACCUUGCUUCUGCUUCCCAUAUAUAUUCCUUGAUGGGCUGGCUCUCUGACUUUGUGAGCCCAUGGGAGUUAAAUUCCAAGUCUGCAGAAGAGGCAAUGUCGAUUAUCUUUGAAGGCAGAGGAAGGCAGUGAUACAGUCACCCUCCUCCAGAAAACUGUUGAUUUCAGCGAUUCGCCACACCGCUCAACAGCAUCACCUACAGAGGGGUCGCCAUCUCCACUCAAUCCCUCCUACUCAGCAUCAACAACUGUCGUGAAAAAAUCCUCAUCCGCGACCACUGAGGAUUUUAUUCAAAACAAACUCCAGGAGAUUAAGAAGAUUAUUAAGAAGGCCAAAGAAGAUCAGAGGAAGAGGCAAGACUUGGGUAUGAUGUUUGUGAUGGGUACAGGUCCAAGGGGUGCAUUUAUUUGAACUGUAGUAUUAAUGAGCUUCAACAUUACUGGUUCUGCUCAUGUGAUUUGAUAAAAAAGGAUAUAUAUUUUUAUUUUAUUGUUCUUAUUUCAUGAAUUUAUCUUACUAUUUCUGUCUCGGCUGAAUUCUCUCUCGAGGCCUGUGUGCAAUGAACAAGGGCAACUCUGAAGUAGCUUUUGACACACAGACUGUGCUGACAGUAACAAUUGCAGCGUCCAUAAACAUUUAAAAGUGUGGUCACAAUUGAGCUCUUGCACCAUAAGUGGAACAUGUUUGUAUAGCUGCGUCUGUGUGGUUUAACAUGUGGGAAGAAGCUUCUACAAAUCUGUGCCACUACAUGGUGAAAUUUUGUGGCAUAUCAAUACAGCCACAGUAUUGUGUUAAUUUGCAAUAUUGUAUCAAUACAGGGACACCAGAUAUCAAUAUUUCAUUAAAUAAAUUAGAAUACUGUGGAAAUACAGUGAAAAGAGCACAAGUGCACCGAUAUCCUAGGAUAACGCUAGCCGAGCAAACUUGGAUUAAAUCGUCAGAACUGAAAAAUCACCCAACACUGAGUCGAUGAUUUAUCACUGUUCAUUCCAUUUAACUGCGGAUGGCAAGAAUUUAUGACAGUGUUGGUUAUGUUUGACAGUCUCAUUUUGCAGCGUAAUGAUUAAAGUGAGAAAACAUUAUCUUAUUGGAUAAAACGCAUAUUGACGAAGUUUAGUUUUGAGGGCAUAAUUUGCAGUCGGAAAAAAAAGGUGAUAAAUCGCAGUAUUCGUUAUUGCAGAACUCGCCGUAUAGUGGCGUGGCUGAUGAUUGUGGUGUAAGGUGAUAAUGUGGUGUUUGUCAGAUUUCCAUCUUCCCCUGUCCUCCCUGAACCUCUAGGUUCCGCCUUUCAGGCUGAUAUCAGCGUGUAUGUGGCAGGUUGCUCAGGAGAGAAAAUAGGGGAGUAGGAAAACUGUACAAAUUCAUCUCACUGGUGUCAGAGAUGGUCCCAGACCUUCUGGGCUACAAACAUAAGACUCAGCUGAUCCUUGGACUGAGGGCCCAGCUCAUUCUUGAAAUACUGAAGAAGAUGAAUGAUGGUGACAGUUUCCAGCAGAAUACAACAAACCACGUGGAUGCAGAAGUAAGAUGCAGUGUAAUAAGCGUCUUAGUUUGACAUGUUUUGCACUAUAAAAGUGAUUUUGCUGUCAAAUUUAGAUGCUGAUAUUACUGUUUAUUGUAUGUAAAUAUACCUUUUGGCUUUGUGAGAGUAACAAGAUGAAGAGGUGGAGAUUUCAAAGUCACCGUUCGUGGAUCUCAUUCAAAUGCUACUUCGAGAUCAGUCGUUGGGAGUUCUUCUAUCGACUGGAAGAGUUGUGCCCAGUGCCAAGUUUCUCAGGUGUCUUCCAUGUUUGUAUUGGAUCCUCUGGACUACAAGCCUGAGAAGUUUGUCCCUAAUCUAGAGGAUCUGAAGCGACUUUUGCAGCAUCAAAAGCAGCAGCAGAAGUUAUCCAAAAGUAACUUCACCUUCACAUCAGACACUAUCCUCUCCAUGCUCACAUCACAACAAACGUCAGUGACCUCUGCACUCCACAUCUAUCAAAAAAUACAAGUGGGACAGCUGGUGAAGUAGCCUUCCAGUCAUUCCAGUAUUCACAGAGCUUAAUGGAAAAUCUGGAUUUCUGGGGAAUCGAGAAGUUUGCUGAAGAGAGCACCAUCGAGUCUUCUCCAUUCAGCGAGAACAAUGCAAAUAAACACGUCUGUUCGGACUGUGGCAAGACUUUUCCAUCUUCAGCCAGACUGAAAUACCAUGAUUUGACUCACUCUUCAGUUAAGCCAUUGAUGAUGAUGAUGAGAGAUGAGAUAGCCUUUAUUUGUCAGUUGCAGUUCUUUUGUCCACAACCGAGAUGACAGACCUUGCCGAUCGUACAUACAAUACACAAACAUCACAUUGGGGAGACAG